rnacentral:rRNA from 1 species
AUUGAACGCUGGCGGCAGGCCUAACACAUGCAAGUCGAGCGAGCGGCGGACGGGUGAGUAAUGUCUGGGAAACUGCCUGCUGGAGGGGGAUAACUACUGGAAACGGUAGCUAAUACCGCAUACCAUCAGAUGUGCCCAGAUGGGAUUAGCUAGUAGGGGGGGUAACGGCUCACCUAGGCGACGAUCCCUAGCUGGUCUGAGAGGAUGACCAGCCACACUGGAACUGGGACACGGUCCAGACUCCGACGGGAGGCAGCAGUGGGGAAUAUUGCACAAUGGGCGGAAGCCUGAUGCAGCCAUGGCGCGUGUGUGAAGAAGGCCUUCGGAUUGUAAAGCACUUUCAGCGGGGAGGCGGUACCCGAAGAAGAAGCACCGGCUAACUCCGUGCCAGCCGCCGCGGUAAUUC